GACGAACGCUGGCGGCGUGCUUAACACAUGCAAGUCGAACGGAAAGGCCCUGCUUUUGUGGGGUGCUCGAGUGGCGAACGGGUGAGUAACACGUGAGUAACCUGCCCUUGACUUUGGGAUAACUUCAGGAAACUGGGUCUAAUACCGGAUAUGAGCUCCUGCUGCAUGGUGGGGGUUGGAAAGUUUCGGCGGUUGGGGAUGGACUCGCGGCUUAUCAGCUUGUUGGUGGGGUAGUGGCUUACCAAGGCUUUGACGGGUAGCCGGCCUGAGAGGGUGACCGGCCACAUGGGGACUGAGAUACGGCCCAGACUCCUACGGGAGGCAGAAGUGGGGAAUAUUGCACAAUGGGCGGAAGCCUGAUGCAGCAACGCCGCGUGCGGGAUGACGGCCUUCGGGUUGUAAACCGCUUUCGCCUGUGACGAAGAGUGAGUGACGGUAAUGGGUAAAGAAGCACCGGCUAACUACGUG
rnacentral:rRNA from 1 species